CGGGGUGUAGCGCAGCUCGGUAGCGCGCUUGCAUGGGGUGCAAGAGGUCGUGGGUUCAAAUCCCGCCACCCCGA
rnacentral:tRNA from 1 species